UACGUAGGGGGCAAGCGUUGUCCGGAUUUAUUGGGCGUAAAGAGCGUGUAGGCGGCCAUGUAGGUCUGCUGUGAAAACUCGAGGCUUAACCUCGAGAUGUCGGCGGAAACCAUCUGGCUAGAGUCCGGAAGAGGAGAGCGGAAUUCCUGGUGUAGCGGUGAAAUGCGCAGAUAUCAGGAGGAACACCCGUGGCGAAGGCGGCUCUCUGGGACGGUACUGACGCUGAGACGCGAAAGCGUGGGGAGCGAACAGG
rnacentral:rRNA from 1 species